rnacentral:rRNA from 1 species
AUAUCAAUAAGCGGAGGAAAAGAAACCAACAGGGAUUGCCUCAGUAACGGCGAGUGAAGCGGCAACAGCUCAAAUUUGAAAUCUGGCCUCACGGCCCGAGUUGUAAUUUGUAGAGGAUGUUUCGGGUACCGCCACGGUUUAAAUUUCUUGGAACAGAAUGUCAUAGAGGGUGAGAAUCCCGUCUUGAACCGCCGGUAGGGCCCGUGUGAAACUCCUUCGACGAGUCGAGUUGCUUGGGAAUGCAGCUCAAAAUGGGUGGUAAAUUUCAUCUAAAGCUAAAUAUUGGCCAGAGACCGAUAGCGCACAAGUAGAGUGAUCGAAAGAUGAAAAGCACUUUGAAAAGAGAGUUAAACAGUAU